rnacentral:tRNA from 1 species
AAAUAUUUAAUAGAUAAUUCUUAAAUAUAUUUUAUUUUUAUAAAAAAAUAAAUUAAGGAAACAAUCUCUAAUUGGUAGUUUUGAUGGGGCGUCAUUUUCAUAAAAAGUAUCUGAAUAAGUCCAUUAAAUAAAUAUUAAUUAAUUUAAAUAAAGAAAUAUAUAUAUUAAAUAUAUAUGAUAUUAAAAAUUAUUAAAUAAAUUAAUUAAUAAUAAUUA